UCAGACGCCAACGCAGCCGCGUGUUUUAAAAAACGUCUACGUUCAAACGAGCUCACCUGUUUCAACAUCGAACGGUUACGGCCUGACUCGUGAUUAGUACUAGUCGACUUUGGUUUCUAAUGCUGAUCUUUAUUGACUAGUCCCGUUAUUAACGAAAACUGUGACCGUAAAGUAACAGUUUGAAACCAGUCCUCGAUGUGGGCUCGUUCGACUGAGUGGAACGGGUUAGCCUCAGGUUAGCCUCAGGAUAGCAUCAGGUUGACUUCUGGCUGUGUUAGCCCGGUGCUAGUCCAGAGACGAUAAGAAACUACAAUGGACGAUAUGUUGUCCUACAAAUUAUACCUGACUUUGAAGUUCUGGACUCACGGAGACCAGGUGGAUCUGGUCCUACCUCCCUAAGACCCCCCCUCAUCGAAACUGAAGCUGAUCGUCAUGAAGAUCUUCAACACAGUAGGAACGUCUUUUUUGUAUUUUUCUUAAAAGUGGCCGCCGCGUCACCUUCGCUCAGUUUGACCGCCGAGCCAAACUCUCUGGGGCCGCUGUGCCUCUCUGCCGUUUGAGUCAUUGUCUUCUUGGGACGUCGGUGUGGCCAAGCGUCCCUUUGGUCUUGUGUGGAGUGGGAGCCAAUGACAGGACAGUUGAUCAGGUGUAGGUUGUGUCUUAGACAAAAGAGCAUUGAGGAACAUUUAGGGUUCGGGUUGUUUAUGUGUGCUAACCUCACCUUUAAGCCUUCCUGGAAUUGAACCAUGAACCCUUAGUCGUGCGUUUUCAUCCCCACACUGUUAGGUGGCGUUCUUGGCCCCCUGUACUUUCCCAGCUGUGUGCUGGACCUUCGUCCCUGUCCUCAUGGCCGCCGUGCCUUUGUUUUCUCAAACAAAACUGUUGCGUUAAAAUGAGGCGUAGUGUCGACGGGUGAGUCUAACCGUCCGUCAGCCUCACGCCUCAAACCCGCGUCUGUAGGCAGUGUAGGCAGGUUAGGGUUAAAUACCCCCCCUCCCCACCCCCCCAACUGUCUGUCCCCAGAUUUGAUCCAAAUUCCUGAUUUCCUAGAACCUAAACCACAAUCCUCUGCUGGUUCGGACAACGACCGUCCUCUUCAGAUUCUUCAGCCCCAAAGUCUGUCUCCACACUGACCUCCAUCGGGUCCCUCAGGAGAUCGUCUCCCUGACUUGUCCCCAAGUCUCCUCUGGGUCUGUGUGUGGUCUGUGGACGUCCGUCCCUGGUCUGGUCUCAUCUUCUGAGGUGAACUUUUGCUGAGUCAGCGUGGUCUUUCUCUAACUUUGGUUGGAUGUUCGUUGGACGUCCAUGGAACGGACUUCUCUAAAUGUUGGCUCCCGGUUGGUGAAAUGGUUCAGUUGGCUCAACCGCAGGUCGUGGUCCAAAUCCUAGCCGUAGCUUCUCCUAAACCUGGACUCUGUCAGGUUCUACGAGCCGGUUCUCCUCCACACAACAGAACAAGGUCCAACCGAGUCGACUCAUGGAAGGACUUUGUCCUUCUCCUUCUUCUGAGUGUGUGGGAGGAGUUCUGGCCGUGGACCCUCACAGAGGUGUGUACCCUGGACGCAGUUUCCAGAACCA